GACGAACUGUCCUAACGUUGUUCGGAAUUACUGGGCGUAAAGCGUGCGCAGGCGGUUUUGUAAGCCGGAUGUGAAAUCCCCGGGCUUAACCUGGGAAUGGCAUUCGGGACUGCAAGGCUGGAGUGCGGCAGAGGAGACUGGAAUUCCUGGUGUAGCAGUGAAAUGCGUAGAUAUCAGGAGGAACACCGAUGGCGAAGGCAGGUCUCUGGGCUGACACUGACGCUCAUGCACGAAAGCGUGGGGAGCAAACAGG
rnacentral:rRNA from 1 species